rnacentral:rRNA from 1 species
GAUGAACGCUGGCGGCGUGCCUAACACAUGCAAGUCGAACGUUACCCUGGUCUUCGGAUUGGGGAAAAGUGGCGAACGGGUGAGUAACACGUUGGUGACCUGCCCCGGAGACGGGAACAACCCUUCGAAAGGAGGGCUAAUACCCGAUGAGCUUGCGCUGUUUAGAAAGGUGCAAGUAAAGUUUCGGCGCUUCGGGAGGGGCCAGCGGCCUAUCAGCUAGUUGGUGAGGUAAUGGCUCACCAAGGCGAAGACGGGUAGGGGGCGUGAGAGCGUGACCCCCCACAAUGGAACUGAGACACGGUCCAUACUCCUCCGGGAGGCAGCAGUGAGGAAUAUUGCACAAUGGGGGAAACCCUGAUGCAGCAACGCCGCGUGGGUGAUGAAGGCCUUCGGGUCGUAAAACCCUUUUCUAGGGGACGAGAUAGGACGGUACCUUAGGAAUAAGUCCCGGCUAACUACGUGCCAGCAGCCGCCGUAAGAC